rnacentral:lncRNA from 1 species
GACCUGCUGCUAGGAUCGCGACGGGAACUGGAGCCCGAGGUGAGAGGAACAUGCUUGGGCGACGGGAAGUUGAACGCACAAACCUGUCCAGAGGGCAAGAUGCCCCGAGCCCCGGGGAAGGAUGAGGACACACCUGAUGUCCAGGUGUAUGGGGGUGGGGGCGGGGACUCACACACCUGGGAGACAUAACUGACUGUGGAAGGGUCACCGAUAUCCUGGGAGAGAGAGGCUUUUACCAGAGACUGGGAACAUACACCCACUGAUCUAACUAAGGCCUGGUGGGGAGGGCCCGAGGAAGACGAGGUGUAUGAGACGGAGGAGGGGAGACCCCCUGAAGGAAGGGGGAAGAAACGCUAAAGGAAUGUGAAAGGCCAAGCAAUGGAGAACAAACCUGAAUAGGGGGGUGAAGACCUGAGCCCUGGAAAGGGUUCAUCUCCUCAGCAUAAACACGCCUGCAUGGAGAUAAGUUCUAAGAGAGCAGACUUUCCCUCUUCACUGUUGUAUUUUCAUUGUCACAAAUAGUGCCUGACACAUAGUAGGCACUCACUAAAUGUCUGCUGAAU